rnacentral:rRNA from 1 species
UACGUAGGGUGCGAGCGUUGUCCGGAAUUAUUGGGCGUAAAGAGCUCGUCGGCGGUGUGUCACGUCGGCCGUGAAAACCUGCAGCUUAACUGUGGGCGUGCGGUCGAUACGGGCAUCACUGGAGUUCGGCAGGGGAGACUGGAAUUCCUGGUGUAGCGGUGAAAUGCGCAGAUAUCAGGAAGAACACCCGUGGCUAAGGCGGCUCUCUAGUACGGUACUGACGCUGAGACGCGAAAGCGUGGGGAGCGAACAGG